CUACGGGGUGCUCCAGUGGGGAAUAUUGCACAAUGGGCGCAAGCCUGAUGCAGCCAUGCCGCGUGUAUGUAGAAGGCCUUCGGGUUGUAAAGUACUUUCAGCGGGGAGGAAGGGAGUAAAGUUAAUACCUUUGCUCAUUGACGUUACCCGCAGAAGAAGCACCGGCUAACUCCGUGCCAGCAGCCGCGGUAAUACGGAGGGUGCAAGCGUUAAUCGGAAUUACUGGGCGUAAAGCGCACGCAGGCGGUUUGUUAAGUCAGAUGUGAAAUCCCCGGGCUCAACCUGGGAACUGCAUCUGAUACUGGCAAGCUUGAGUGUCGUAGAGGGGGGUAGAAUUCCAGGUGUAGCGGUGAAAUGCGUAGAGAUCUGGAGGAAUACCGGUGGCGAAGGCGGCCCCCUGGACGAAGACUGACGCUCAGGUGCGAAAGCGUGGGGAGCAAACAGGAUUAGAUACCCUAGUAGUC
rnacentral:rRNA from 1 species